GUCGAACGGGAAUUACUUUAUUGAAACUUCGGUCGAUUUAAUUUAAUUCUAGUGGCGGACGGGUGAGUAACGCGUGGGUAACCUGCCUUAUACAGGGGGAUAACAGUCAGAAAUGGCUGCUAAUACCGCAUAAGCGCACAGAGCUGCAUGGCUCAGUGUGAAAAACUCCGGUGGUAUAAGAUGGACCCGCGUUGGAUUAGCUAGUUGGUGGGGUAACGGCCCACCAAGGCGACGAUCCAUAGCCGGCCUGAGAGGGUGAACGGCCACAUUGGGACUGAGACACGGCCCAGACUCCUACGGGAGGCAGCAGUGGGGAAUAUUGCACAAUUGGGGAAACCCUGAUGCAGCGACGCCGCGUGAAGGAAGAGGUAUCUCGGUAUGUAAACUUCUAUCAGCAGGGAAGAUAGUGACGGUACCUGACUAAGAAGCCCCGGCUAACUACGUGCCAGCAGCCGCGGUAAUACGUAGGGGGCAAGCGUUAUCCGGAUUUACUGGGUGUAAAGGGAGCGUAGACGGUGUGGCAAGUCUGAUGUGAAAGGCAUGGGCUCAACCUGUGGACUGCAUUGGAAACUGUCAUACUUGAGUGCCGGAGGGGUAAGCGGAAUUCCUAGUGUAGCGGUGAAAUGCGUAGAUAUUAGGAGGAACACCAGUGGCGAAGGCGGCUUACUGGACGGU
rnacentral:rRNA from 1 species